rnacentral:tRNA from 1 species
GCCUGGAUGGCUCAGUGGGUUGAGUGUCUGACUCUUGAUUUCGGCUUAGGUCAUGAUGUCAGGAUUCAUGGGUUCAAGCCCUGCUUCGGGCU